GAUAAACGCUGGCGGCGUGCUUAACACAUGCAAGUCGAACGGAGUAGUUCUCCCGAGACCGAGGAAGCUUGCUUCUGAAGAAUCAUUUGAGCUACUUAGUGGCGGACGGGUGAGUAACGCGUGGGUAACCUGCCUCACACUGGGGGAUAGCAGUUGGAAACGACUGAUAAUACCGCAUAAGCGCACAGUACCGCAUGGUACAGUGUGAAAAACUCCGGUGGUGUGAGAUGGACCCGCGUCUGAUUAGCUAGUUGGUGAGGUAACGGCCCACCAAGGCGACGAUCAGUAGCCGGCCUGAGAGGGUGUACGGCCACAUUGGGACUGAGACACGGCCCAAACUCC
rnacentral:rRNA from 1 species